rnacentral:rRNA from 1 species
CAGCAGCCGCGGUAAUUCAGAGACUGCAAGCGUUAUUCGGAUUCACUGGGCGUAAAGGGUGCGCAGGCGGUUGGGUGUGUCAGAUGUGAAAUCCCGAGGCUCAACCUCGGAACUGCGUCUGAAACUACUCGACUAGAGUACUGGAGAGGGUAACGGAAUUCACGGUGUAGCAGUGAAAUGCGUAGAUAUCGUGAGGAACGCCAGAGGCGAAGGCGGUUACCUGGACAGUUACUGACGCUCAGGCACGAAAGCAUGGGGAGCAAAAGGGAUUAGAUACCCUGGUAGUCCACGCCCUAAACGAUGCGAACUGGAUGUUGGUCUCAACUCGGAGAUCAGUGUCGAAGCUAACGCGUUAAGUUCGCCGCCUGGGGAGUACGGUCGCAAGACUGAAACUCAAAUGAAUUGACGG